rnacentral:hammerhead_ribozyme from 1 species
GUACUGAUGAAGAGUCCUAAACGAGGACGAAACUGCUGUCUAGUAC